GACGAACGCUGGCGGCGUGCUUAACACAUGCAAGUCGAACGGUAAGGUCCCAGCUUGCUGGGCUCCACGAGUUGAGACCGGGUGAGUAACACGUGGGUGACCUGCCCCGCCCUUCGGGAUAUGCCUAGGAAACUGGGUGUAAUACCGGCUAGGACCGCACGCCGUGGGUGGGGUGGACAGUUAUUUGGUGUGGGAUGGGCGUGGGGCCUAUCCGCUUGUUGGUGGGGUAAUGGCCUAGCAAGGCGGCGACGGGUAGCCGGCCUGGGAGGAGGGACGGCCACAUUAGGACGGAGACGAGGCCCAGACUCCUACGGGAGGCAGCAGUGGGGAAGAUUGUACAGUGGGAGGAGGGAUGAUGCAGCGACGCCGCGUCGGGGAAGACGGCCUGCGGGUUGGAUACUACUUUCACCAUCGACGAAGGGUUAAUGACGGUAGAUGGAGAAGAAGCACCGGCUAACUACGUG
rnacentral:rRNA from 1 species